UUUCAAUAUUUCUAACAGUCCCCUUGUAGAGAAACCUGCAAGGUAACAGACCUCUAAUUGCUGGAAACCUCGACCAAUCUAAACACUACAACGUAACUGGAAACGGUAAGCGUGAAAGUAGCGAAAGCAGAAAAAAGAUUUAGAUUGGGUUCAAUGGUUAAAUCCUAAAGAACCAUACAACGAGCAAUCGUAGCAGCGAAGUCCCUAAGUCCAUUUGGAUAUGGGAUGUGUUCAACGACUACGCCGACGGGCGGUAGGAUGCAAGUGCAUUCCAAACGGGGUCUACUGUAGCAUAUAGGGCUACACGCCAUACAGGUCGUGCUGAUGGUUGCCUAACGUUAAACGAGGGUAAUUAUAUAGUCUAACUUGUAGUUAUAACAAG
rnacentral:ncRNA from 1 species